rnacentral:lncRNA from 1 species
GCUACCAUUAUGGAGUCUGGUCCUGUGAGGGCUGCAAGGCCUUCUUCAAGAGAAGUAUUCAAGGUAAUAACCCUGAAGUCUCUGGAAGAGAAGGACCAUAUCCACCGAGUCCUGGACAAGAUCACAGACACUUUGAUCCACCUGAUGGCCAAGGCAGGCCUGACCCUGCAGCAGCAGCACCAGCGGCUGGCCCAGCUCCUCCUCAUCCUCUCC